rnacentral:misc_RNA from 1 species
AACCUUAUGGACCUGCGGGCGUAUACCUGCGGAAGGAUCAUUAAUAAAUGUUACUUCGGUAACUUAAUUAAUCCCUAACACCUGUGCAUCUUGUCGCUUCGGCGUCAUUUUAUAAACAUCAGUGUAAUGAAUGUAACGUAUUAUAACAAAUACAACUUUCAACAACGGAUCU